rnacentral:rRNA from 1 species
GAUGAACGCUGGCGGCGUGCCUAAUACAUGCAAGUCGAGCGAAUGGAUUAAGAGCUUGCUCUUAUGAAGUUAGCGGCGGACGGGUGAGUAACACGUGGGUAACCUGCCCAUAAGACUGGGAUAACUCCGGGAAAACGGGGCUAAUACCGGAUAACAUUUUGAACCGCAUGGUUCGAAAUUGAAAGGCGGCCUAGGCUGUCACUUAUGGAUGGACCCGCGUCGCAUUAGCUAGUUGGUGAGGUAACGGCUCACCAAGGCAACGAUGCGUAGCCGACCUGAGAGGGUGAUCGGCCACACUGGGACUGAGACACGGCCCAGACUCCUACGGGAGGCAGCAGUAGGGAAUCUUCCGCAAUGGACGAAAGUCUGACGGAGCAACGCCGCGUGAGUGAUGAAGGCUUUCGGGUCGUAAAACUCUGUUGUUAGGGAAGAACAAGUGCUAGUUGAAUAAGCUGGCACCUUGACGGUACCUAACCAGAAAGCCACGGCUAACUACGUGCCAGCAGCCGCGGUAA